rnacentral:rRNA from 1 species
UACGGAGGAUCCAAGCGUUAUCCGGAUUUAUUGGGUUUAAAGGGUGCGUAGGCGGCUUUUUAAGUCAGGGGUGAAAGACGGUAGCUUAACUAUCGCAGUGCCCUUGAUACUGAAGAGCUUGAAUGUACUAGAAGUAGGCGGAAUGUGACAAGUAGCGGUGAAAUGCAUAGAUACGUGGAGGAACACCGGUGGCGAAAGCGCCUUUCUAGUUUAGACCUGACGCUGAGGCGCGAGAGCAAGGGGAGCAAACAGG